rnacentral:rRNA from 1 species
AGAACGAACGCUGGCGGCAUGCCUAACACAUGCAAGUCGAACGAGACCUUCGGGUCUAGUGGCGCACGGGUGCGUAACGCGUGGGGAUCUACCCUUGGGUUCGGAAUAACAGUUGGAAACGACUGCUAAUACCGGAUGAUGUCGCAAGACCAAAGAUUUAUCGCCCAAGGAUGAGCCCGCGUAGGAUUAGCUAGUUGGUGAGGUAAAGGCUCACCAAGGCGACGAUCCUUAGCUGGUCUGAGAGGAUGAUCAGCCACACUGGGACUGAGACACGGCCCAGACUCCUACGGGAGGCAGCAGUGGGGAAUAUGGACAAUGGGCGAAAGCCUGAUCCAGCAAUGCCGCGUGAGUGAUGAAGCCUUAGGUGUAAAGCUCUUUUACCGGAUGAUAAUGACAGUACCGGAGAAUAAGCUCCGGCUAACUCCGUGCCAGCAGCCGC